rnacentral:rRNA from 1 species
ACGCUCGACACCUACGGGAGACAGCAGUGGGGAAUAUUGCACAAUGGGGGAAACCCUGAUGCAGCGGCGCCGCGUGGAGGAAGAAGGUCUUCGGAUUGUAAACUCCUGUUGUUGGGGAAAAAGAGGAUGGUACCCAACAAGGAAGUGACGGCUAACUACGUCNNNNCGCGUAGUAUGNGCGGCGUGNGAGAG